AUGAUAUAAACCCCAACAGGGGUGUGCGGAUAACCGAUUUUUUCGGCUAACGGAUAAAUCGGCUAAUGCCGAUUUUUUGAGAACCGGCUAACGGCUAAUUCGGCUAACGACUAAUUUCAAAAUUUUCGGCUAACGGCUAAUUCGGCUAAAAUCAAUCGGUCAAAUCGGCUAAUUUUCGGCUAAUUCGGCUAAUUCGGAAAAUAUUCAUUUGGUUAAGCUUUUUUGUCCAUUCUGUUAAUUCAGGUUUUGGGUUAAUUUGUUCACUGUUAUUGAGCAAAUUCAGUGAUGAACGACUGCUCAAAUAGGAAAAAAUCAUACAAAUUCACCACAGUUUGUUUUCCGAAAAAUAUGUUAGUUGAAUUAGCCGAAAUAGCCGAUCGGCGAAUUCGGCUAACAUCGGCCAAAAUCGGCUAACGGAUAACUACGUAUUAGCCCAACUGCCAAAAAGUCGGCUAACGGCUAAUUCGGCUAAUCGGUAAAAAGGUUGGCUAACGGAUAAUUCGGCUAAUAUUAGCCGAGUUAGCCGAAUUAGCCGAUCGGCGAAUUCGGCUAAAUCGGCUAUUAUCCGCACACCCCUGAACCCCAACCAACUCAUAACUCGAUUAUGGUGCAUCGACGGGGACUUUAUCAAAUUAAUCGAUUUGGCUAGGACAUCUACUCGUUUCCGACGGAGUUUGAAACAAGUAAAUCGAAAAAUUUUCAACGUAAUCAUUGAAUGCUAUGAUGAGUAUUCUUCCGAAUUGGGAAACUAUUUCUGGUAUCGAAGGAUAACAGUUUUGGAAACAGAGAGAGAUAUGCAAUUUGCUUAUCACUUUAUGAUGAAUCAAGAACAAGGAAUCAACUGGGCAACUCAUCAGAACGUCCAUUAUUUUAUUAAUCUGUUUUGCACGUACCACAAGGAUGUGAACAAGUCGCCAUGCUUGUCCUAUGAAACUUCACAAGAGUUAAUCAAUCUUUUGGGCAUUUUAAAUGAUUCAUUUAAAAUCGACCAUGUUGAAUUGGCAAUGGAACGUGAUGAAAUCUUUGGGGAAUUCAAAUCCGCACUGAGUCAUCCAUUAUUUCGGAAAUGCCAUUUUGUUAAAGUUCUCGGCGAGCUAUCGUUCGUUGACACAGAAGACGUGGAAUUCAUAUUGAAGAAUUUCGAUUUGAAAUUUGGAUUUUCAAAUUGUAGUUUUCAACUAGUCGGGUUCAACAAAAAACUCAUAAAACUGUUUUACAAUAUUCCACGGUUGGACUUACGAAGAUGCCCAAAAUUAACAUUAGACGAUUUGAAACUGAUGAAUUGCGAAACGAUUCGAUUCGAUUAUUUUGGUGGAUUCUCGGGAAUACAACUAAACUGGCACAUUCAAUACUGGUUUGCCGGAAAUAUGUCAAAACUACGAAGAUUUCAAUUAAACUACUGGCCUUAUGAGUGGACUGAUGACUUAUGUGAUGGUUUGCCACACUCCGAGUGGAAUCCAAAACGUCGAGCAAGAUAUUUCUAUGAUGAUCUGGAAGUCGUUGAUUGUUUAAAAGGACGCGAUAUCGAAAGAAGUGACGGUCUACUUGCAACUAUUUUAGUCGAAUAUGAUACCAUGUACUUUCUCAUAUGGCAUGAUAGAUUCCCGAUGGAUCAACAAACAUUGUUUCGCUUUACGGAUAAUUAAUAUUUACAUGCUUUUUGAAUUUUUGCAAUAUAAAUUACCAUUUUCUUGA
rnacentral:misc_RNA from 1 species